AUUUGAUGGUUUCCUGCAAAUGACGGAAUGUUGCUGUGGAGAAAUGUUGCGAGUGUUUCAGAUAUUUGCAUCUAAUGGUUUCCUUCAAAUGACAGAAUGUUGCCAUAGAGACAUAUCACGAAGGCAUUGCAGGUAGAAGGAUGAAAUCAACAGAUCAAUGUCCAAGCUUUGAUUUGGUCUCAGAAAAACCAUGGUCAUUAUCAGGGUCAAGUUAUUUGCGCCUUCCAAAAGAUUAUCAUUGGAAUCAGACUGAUAGAGAGGUUCCCAUCAUUUGUGGCAGUGUUUCCCAUCUUUUGUGAUGUUACCAUACAAAGGGAAAUCUCAUGGGCUUCCAGGUUCCAGCAAAUGCUCUUAGACUUCAAUCCUUUUUUUAUUGAAG